UAGGAAACGGCGCUCGCUAACGGGGUGUGACGGGGCUUUACGGUGCCUGUGCGGGUGCGCACGGGAUGCGCUCAAAGGAAAGGCAACCAGUUCUCCUUGUGCUGAGAAGACACGUGGAUGUGCAGCACCUGUGAGGCUCAGAUUGUGUUGUGAGUGGCGCGGCCCUGGGACAGCAGUGGUGGGAUCUCCACCCUUGGUCAUGUUGAAAACAUGCCUGGACAAAGCUCUAAGAAACCUGACCCAGCUUUAGAGUGAUAACUUGCUCAGGGGCUGGGCUGGAGACCUCCAGAUACCCCUCCCUACCUAAAUCCUUCCAUGAUUUACAUCGAACGCUCUUUGGUAUUUAUGUAGUUCUGGGAAGCCUUCAGUGAUGUAUCGUUGAACUGUUAUAAUCUGAUGCUGGCCAAGGAGGGAUUUAGUGGUCCUGGCUCCAUACAUCUCAUUCACAUUGUCCUUCUCAAGGACAGCUGAACAUCUGCUGCUGAUAGGUAACUCCAGGCCGUGGUGUAGCCCUGCUCCCACCUUGGCCGUGAAACCUCUUCCCUGUCUGCCUCCAUCCCCACUGCCACAGACCUUUGGUCAGAUCUUUAGAGUGGCUGUUUUUGUCCUUCUCUGGGCUGCUUGUGAGCUUUCCAAGUGUUGAUUAAAAGGUACCAUCACUGCAAAA